rnacentral:rRNA from 1 species
GACGAACGCUGGCGGCGUGCUUAACACAUGCAAGUCGAACGGAAAGGCCCUGCUUUUGUGGGGUGCUCGAGUGGCGAACGGGUGAGUAACACGUGAGUAACCUGCCCUUGACUUUGGGAUAACUUCAGGAAACUGGGGCUAAUACCGGAUAGGAGCUCCUGCUGCAUGGUGGGGGUUGGAAAGUUUCGGCGGUUGGGGAUGGACUCGCGGCUUAUCAGCUUGUUGGUGGGGUAGUGGCUUACCAAGGCUUUGACGGGUAGCCGGCCUGAGAGGGUGACCGGCCACAUGGGGACGGGGAUACGGCCCAGACUCCUACGGGAGGCAGCAGUGGGGAAUAUUGCACAAUGGGCGGAAGCCUGAUGCAGCAACGCCGCGUGCGGGAUGACGGCCUUCGGGUUGUAAACCGCUUUCGCCUGUGACGAAGCGUGAGGGACGGUAAUGGGUAAAGAAGCACCGGCUAACUACGU